rnacentral:rRNA from 1 species
UUUGCAGUAUAUUAACUGUGCAAAGGUAGCAUAAUCAUUAGUCUUUUAAUUGAAGGCUUGUAUGAAUGGCUGGACGAGGUACUUACUGUCUCUUUUUGGUAAGUUGAAUUUAACAUUCCUGUGAAAAGGCAGGAAUGCAGUUGAAGGACGAGAAGACCCUAUAAAGCUUUACAAAUUAUUUUAUAUCUUAUUGGGAGAUUUUGUGGGUAUAUAUGAGUUUGUUUGGUUGGGGUGAUUGGAAUAUAGGUAAACUAUUCAUAAUAUAACACGGAUGGGUGGAYAGAUGAUCCAUUUAGUGAUUGAAAGAUUAAGUUACUUUAGGGAUAACAGCGUAAUCCUUUUGGAGAGUUCUAAUCGAUAAAAGGGUUUGCGACCUCGAUGUUGGAUUAAA